rnacentral:rRNA from 1 species
CCUACGGGGGCUGCAGUGGGGAAUAUUGGACAAUGGGCGAAAGCCUGAUCCAGCCAUGCCGCGUGUGUGAAGAAGGCCUUCGGGUUGUAAAGCACUUUCAGUGGGGAAGAAAGCCUUGGGGCUAAUACCCUCGAGGAAGGACAUCACCCACAGAAGAAGCACCGGCUAACUCCGUGCCAGCAGCCGCGGUAAUACGGAGGGUGCGAGCGUUAAUCGGAAUUACUGGGCGUAAAGCGCGCGUAGGCGGUCUGAUAAGCCGGUUGUGAAAGCCCCGGGCUCAACCCGGGAACGGCAUCCGGAACUGUCAGGCUAGAGUGCAGGAGAGGAAGGUAGAAUUCCCGGUGUAGCGGUGAAAUGCGUAGAGAUCGGGAGGAAUACCAGUGGCGAAGGCGGCCUUCUGGACUGACACUGACGCUGAGGUGCGAAAGCGUGGGUAGCGAACAGGAUUAGAUACCCGUGUAGUC